rnacentral:rRNA from 1 species
GACGGGGGAUGCGAGCGUUAUCCGGAAUGAUUGGGCGUAAAGGGUCCGCAGGUGGCCCGGUCAGUCCGCUGUCAAAGCCUGGGGCUCAACCCUGGAGAGGCGGCGGAGACCACCGGGCUUGAGUCCGGUAGGGGCAGAGGGAAUUCCCGGUGGAGCGGGUGAAAUGCGUAGAGAUCGGGAAGAACGGCCAAGGGCGAAGGCACUCUGCUAGGCCUGAUUUCGCGACUGACACUCAGGGACGAGAGCCAGGGGAGCGAAUGGG